UCAGAUUGAAUCAAUGCAGUUUGUCAGAGACCAGCUGUGAUUCUCUGAACUCAGCUCUGAGGUCCAAGCCCUCCCAUCUGGAACAUCUGGAGCUGGAUCUAAACAACCCACAGGAUUCAGGAGUGAAACAUCUGUGUGGUUUCCUGAAGAAUCCAGACUGCAGCCUGAAGACUCUGAGUUUGGAGAGCUGCAAUUUGUCAGAGACCAGCUGUGAUUAUCUGGCCUCAGCUCUGAAGUCCAACCCCUCCCAUCUGGAACAUCUGAACCUGAGUGAGAACAACCUGAAGGAUUCAGGAGUGAAGCAUCUGUGUGGUUUUCUAGAGAGUCCAGACUGCAUCCUGAAGACUCUGAGAUGGAAGUGAUGCUGAUCAGGACGCUGUGUGUGCUGAGAGGAUGAAGUGUGUCCCGAUGAUCCAGAGGCUGAAGCAG